rnacentral:rRNA from 1 species
GACGAACGCUGGCGGCGUGCUUAACACAUGCAAGUCGAACGGAAAGGCCCUGCUUUUGUGGGGUGCUCGAGUGGCGAACGGGUGAGUAACACGUGAGUAACCUGCCCUUGACUUUGGGAUAACUUCAGGAAACUGGGGCUAAUACCGGAUAGGAGCUCCUGCUGCAUGGUGGGGGUUGGAAAGUUUCGGCGGUUGGGGAUGGACUCGCGGCUUAUCAGCUUGUUGGUGGGGUAGUGGCUUACCAAGGCUUUGACGGGUAGCCGGCCUGAGAGGGUGACCGGCCACAUUGGGACUGAGAUACGGCACAGACUCCUACGGGAGGCAGCAGUGGGGAAUAUUGCACAAUGGGCGGAAGCCUGAUGCAGCAACGCCGCGUGCGGGAUGACGGCCUUCGGGGUGUAAACCGCUUUCGCCUGUGACGAAGCGUGAGUGACGGUAAUGGGUAAAGAAGCACCGGCUAACUACGUG